rnacentral:rRNA from 1 species
UACGUAGGGUGCGAGCGUUAAUCGGAAUUACUGGGCGUAAAGCGUGCGUAGGCGGUUCGUUAAGUUCGUUGUGAAAGCCCCGGGCUCAACCUGGGAAUGGCAAUGGAAACUGGCGGGCUGGAGUAUGGCAGAGGGGGUGGAAUUCCGCGUGUAGCAGUGAAAUGCGUAGAGAUGCGGAGGAACACCGAUGGCGAAGGCAGCUCUCUGGGACGGUACUGACGCUGAGACGCGAAAGCGUGGGGAGCGAACAGG